UGGGCGAAACAGACUCGGUCAAAAGAACAUAGUUAUAUAAUGCGAGCUGGUCGGUAAAUAACAGUUGCGCUUUAAAAUAAAAGGUCAAAGUUAAUGACUAGUUGGUGAUCACCACACAUUAUAAGCAAAAAGAGCCGAAGCUGAAGCUGCAGCGGCCUCAACUAUGAAGGAGUCGGCGACUUGAACAAUGGAGGAGGCAGUGACUGUGGCUUUGGCGGAGCAGGCGACAUCAAUUAUAACAAAAUGUGCUGUGUUUAUAUAAAAAUUCUUCUCCCGCCUACUGAUAGAUGACGCUAAUAUAAUCGUGUGUGUGAAGUUUCAG
rnacentral:sRNA from 1 species